rnacentral:rRNA from 1 species
GACGAACGCUGGCGGCGUGCUUAACACAUGCAAGUCGAACGGAAAGGCCCUGCUUUUGUGGGGUGCUCGAGUGGCGAACGGGUGAGUAACACGUGAGUAACCUGCCCUUGACUUUGGGAUAACUUCAGGAAACUGGGGCUAAUACCGGAUAGGAGCUCCUGCUGCAUGGUGGGGGUUGGAAAGUUUCGGCGGUUGGGGAUGGACUCGCGGCUUAUCAGCUUGUUGGUGGGGUAGUGGCUUACCAAGGCUUUGACGGGUAGCCGGCCGGAGAGGGUGACCGGCCACAUUGGGACUUAGAUACGGCCCAGACUCCUACGGGAGGCAGCAGUGGGGAAUAUUGCACAAUGGGCGGAAGCCUGAUGCAGCCACGCCGCGUGCGGGAUGACGGCCUUCGGGUUGUAAACCGCUUUCGCCUGUGACGAAGCGUGAGUGACGGUAAUGGGUAAAGAAGCACCGGCUAACUACGUG